AACAAAUAAAACCCUAAGACACUCUUCUUGGACCUGACUUAAACACAUAAGGUCCAAGCCCAAUCACACACUAAAAUAACAUAUAAGUAUUAAAACAUAAGCCCAAAACAUGGCCCAACACUCUAAAACUUAAAAGAUAAAGUAUGGCCAGAAUACAAGCCCAAACAAAGCUAAAAUAAAACAAGUGUUAAAUAAUAAAAAUAUAGC
rnacentral:lncRNA from 1 species